CCUACGGGAGGCAGCAGUGGGGAAUAUUGGACAAUGGGGGCAACCCUGAUCCAGCCAUGCCGCGUGUGUGAAGAAGGCCCUCGGGUUGUAAAGCACUUUCAGUGAGGAAGAACGCCUGGUGGUUAAUACCCAUCAGGAAAGACAUCUCUCACAGAAGAAGCACCGGCUAACUCCGUGCCAGCAGCCGCGGUAAUACGGAGGGUGCGAGCGUUAAUCGGAAUUACUGGGCGUAAAGCGCGCGUAGGUGGCUUGAUAAGCCGGUUGUGAAAGCCCCGGGCUCAACCUGGGAACGGCAUCCGGAACUGUCAAGCUAGAGUGCAGGAGAGGAAGGUAGAAUUCCCGGUGUAGCGGUGAAAUGCGUAGAGAUCGGGAGGAAUACCAGUGGCGAAGGCGGCCUUCUGGACUGACACUGACACUGAGGUGCGAAAGCGUGGGUAGCAAACAGGAUUAGAUACCCUAGUAGUC
rnacentral:rRNA from 1 species